CUUGCGAAUAGGAAUUUUAUGUGCAAUCUCAUACCCACCGGGGUACGAGGUUGUUUUAUGUCUGCCCGUCUUGUUAUUAGAGAGUUUGAGCAAGACAACGAAGUCGAAGGCGUACUUGACAAUUUUUGCCGUCUGCGCAUUAUCUUGCGCAUACUGAGUUGGACGUCACUGGUGGUUGCUCAGCGUAUCUUCCCAUGUGUCGCUGUUUAUGAAUGCUGACCCUAAUUCAUGCCCUGACCCAGAAAAAAACAGCGACACAUGAAACUAUAUCCCGUCUUUGUCCUUCUGGCUUCUGCCUUCGUUCGGAACGAAGUUCACAACGAAAUUUUGCCAAAAUAUUCGUUGUGAACGAAGGCAGAAGUAAGACGGGAUAUGGAUUCAUGUCUCGCUGUUUUGUCCUGAUCAGGGUAACGAUUUGGGUCCGCAUUCAUAAACAGCUAGACAUGAAUCUCUAAUCUGUCUUCACCCCUCGUCGUCGUCGUCCGACUUCGUUCUCUUGCUCAAUUAAACUCUCUAAUCGAUAAGGAUUUAAAGGAAAUAGGAUUGGAACUGUCAAUUUGUGUUUUUAAUUAUAAUUAGUCGAACCACGUUUCAUAUGAGUCACGUUACACGUUAUAGUUUCGCGUGAUAUUACAAGUUUUGGUUAUUAUACGAUUACAUUUGAGUUUGUGAUCUAUUUAUAUCGUUGCCGCUGGCAAAUUGGUAAUCUGAACGAUCUUUUUCUACGACCGUUACCACAAUAUCGGUCUCAAAUUGUGCUCACUCGUGAGCUUCAUACCAUUUUGGUUUCGCUGUGCAUGUCAAUGAGUGUUGGAGCUUACAGUGGGUUUACACAGAAUACAAGUAAUUUCGACUAUUUUGUACACACGUUUACGCACUCCCAAAACAGUAAUAUACUACACUAGGAGGAAAUAUAUAUUGAAAAACUAGAUAAUAUUUAUAGUUAUUUAAGACUUCAUAAUCACUGUGUGACGCACAGCCGGCACAGGGGCGUAGGAAGCAUCAAAAGAUUGGGGAGGGGGCAGGGCUUCCAGGGGCACUUUUGGAUAUUGAGAAGGGCACCUAAAAAAUUCUUCCCGGAAAUAUUGGCGGGGGGGUGUGCUCUUCCCGUCAUACCAUACCGAAAUUGAACGUUUUUGACCAAAUUUUUUAUGCCGAAACAUCGAAAUUUCCAAACAAAAAGGGCAC